GAAAUGCGAUAAGUAAUGUGAAUUGCAGAAUUCAGUGAAUCAUCGAAUCUUUGAACGCACCUUGCGCUCCUUGGUAUUCCUUGGGGCAUGCCUGUUUGAGUAUCAUGAAAUCUUCAAAGUAAAUCUUUUGUUAACUCAAUUGGUUUCUACUUUGGUAUUGGAGGUCUUUGCAGCUUCACACCUGCUCCUCUUUGUUCAUUAGCUGGAUCUCAGUGUUAUGCUUGGUUCCACUCGGCGUGAUAAUUUAUCUAUCGCUGAGGACACUGUAAAAGGUGGCCAAGGUAAAUGCAGAUGAACCGCUUCUAAUAGUCCAUUGACUUGGACAAUACUUUUAUGAUCUGAUCUCAAAUCAGGUAGGACUACCCGCUGAACUUAAGC
rnacentral:misc_RNA from 1 species